UAGGAAAAUGAUUUUCCCAGUCUGAGAUA
rnacentral:piRNA from 2 species